GAACACCUCAGUCAGGGCGCAUCUGCUGGAAUUUUGGAUCCAGGCGGCUGAGGGUUGCCGCGUCCUGAGGAAUUUCUCCUCACUGCACGCCAUCAUGUCUGCCCUGCAGAGCAGAGCCAUCUCUCGUCUGCACAGGUCAUGGCAACAGGUCUCCAGGAAGGACUUGCUCACAUUCCAAAAGCUGGCCGAGAUCACCUCUCCUGAAAACAACUACUCUAAGAGUAGAGAGCUGCUACUGAAGGAGACCCGCAAGCUGGCGAAGCUGCUCAAAGGAGGUCCUAGGCAGUCUAA